rnacentral:rRNA from 1 species
CCCGCACAAGCGGUGGAGCAUGUGGUUUAAUUCGAUGCAACGCGAAGAACCUUACCUACUCUUGACAUCCACGGAAUUUAGCAGAGAUGCUUUAGUGCCUUCGGGAACUGUGAGACAGGUGCUGCAUGGCUGUCGUCAGCUCGUGUUGUGAAAUGUUGGGUUAAGUCCCGCAACGAGCGCAACCCUUAUCCUUUGUUGCCAGCGGUUCCGGCCGGGAACUCAAAGGAGACUGCCAGUGAUAAACUGGAGGAAGGUGGGGAUGACGUCAAGUCAUCAUGGCCCUUACGAGUAGGGCUACACACGUGCUACAAUGGCGCAUACAAAGAGAAGCGACCUCGCGAGAGCAAG